rnacentral:rRNA from 1 species
UACGAAGGUCCCGAGCGUUAUCCGGAUUUAUUGGGUUUAAAGGGUGCGUAGGCGGGUUAUUAAGUCAGUGGUGAAAGCCUACAGCUUAACUGUAGAAUUGCCAUUGAUACUGAUGAUCUUGAGUAUGAUUGAGGUGGGCGGAAUGUGUCAUGUAGCGGUGAAAUGCUUAGAUAUGACACAGAACGCCGAUUGCGAAGGCAGCUCACUAAGUCAUAACUGACGCUGAUGCACGAAAGCGUGGGGAGCAAACAGG